AUUGAACGCUGGCGGCAGGCCUAACACAUGCAAGUCGAGCGAGCGGCGGACGGGUGAGUAAUGUAUGGGGACUGCCCGAUAGAGGGGGAUAACUACUGGAAACGGUGGCUAAUACCGCAUACUAUCGGAUAACCCAUAUGGGAUUAGCUAGUAGGUGGGGUAAUUGCUCACCUACGCGACGAUCUCUAGCUGGUCUGAGAGGAUGAUCAGCCACACUGUGACUGAGACCCGGCCCAGACUCCUACGGAGUCAGCAGUUGGGAAUAUUGCGCAAUGGGCGCAAGCCUGAUGCAGCCAUGCCGCGUGUAUGACGAAGGCCUUAGGGUUGUAAAGUACUUUCAGCGGGGAGGCGUUACCCGCAGAAGAAGCACCGGGGAAAAAAGAGCCAGCAGCCGCGGUAAUUC
rnacentral:rRNA from 1 species